UCGAUUGGUGGCGCAUCCUGGGAGUGUCGAGCCCCUUGUCACGCGCACUCCUAAGGAAAAUUGGAUGAUACACCCUGCCUGGAUUCAGCGGUAUUUAUUCAAUCAUCCCUUGCGUGUCCAUUUUAUUUAUUCAUCCCUUGCAUGUACAUUUCAUUCAAUAAUCCCUUGCAUUUACAUUUUAUUUAUUCAUCCCUUGCAUGUCCAUUUUAUUUAUGCAGUUUGAAGUGGGCUGGCCUUUUACCUUUCGCACGACUUGUUGAGGCAACUCGUGCGGAAAUGGUAGAGGGCGAGCGACGAGGCUUCAACUCUACACGGGUACAAAUUGAC
rnacentral:lncRNA from 1 species